GGGUCAGUAGGUUGGUCGUGCCACCGGUACGUACUGGUCUCACUGAUUCCUCCUUCCUGAAGAACCGUAAUGCCAUUAAUUUGGUGUUGCGGGGAAACAGGACUGUUACUUUGAAAAAAUUAGAGUGUUUAAAGCAAGCUAACGCAUGAACACAUUAGCAUGGAAUAAUGAAAUAGGACGAUCGAUCCUAUUUUGUUGGUUUCUAGGAUUGACGUA
rnacentral:rRNA from 1 species